GUUUAGCCCCGAUUGAGGCAUUUGUUGGAGCUCCUCACAUAUAGUCCUUCGACUGCGCUCUGGAUAAACUUUUGCCGAAAGCGGGAUUAGCU
rnacentral:misc_RNA from 1 species